GCACAAGCGGUGGAGCAUGUGGUUUAAUUCGAUGGUACGCGAGAAACCUUACCAGGGCUUGACAUACGCUGGAAGCGGUCCGAAAGGAUCGUGCCGCUUGCGGCCGGCGUACAGGUGCUGCAUGGCUGUCGUCAGCUCGUGCUGUGAAGUGUUGGGUUAAGUCCCGCAACGAGCGCAACCCCUGCUGUCUGUUGCCACCACGAGAGGUGGGGACUCAGGCGGAACUGCCGGUGACAAACCGGAGGAAGGUGGGACGACGUCAAGUCAUCAUGGCCCUUAUGUCCUGGGCUACACACGUGCUACAAUGGCCGGUACAGAGCGCAGCGAAGCCGCGAGGCAAAGCGAAUCGCAAAAAGCCGGUCUCAGUACGGAUUGGAGUCUGAAACCCGACUCCAUGAAGUUGGAAUCGCUAGUAAUCGCGCAUCAGCAUGGCGCGGUGAAUACGUUCCCGGGCCUU
rnacentral:rRNA from 1 species